UACGUAGGGACCGAGCGUUGUCCGGAUUCAUUGGGCGUAAAGAGCUCGUAGGCGGCCACUCAAGUCGAAUGUGAAACCUCGAGGCUUAACCUCGAGCCUGCAUUCGAUACUGGGCGGCUAGAGUCUGGUAGGGGGAUCUGGAAUUCCUGGUGUAGCGGUGGAAUGCGCAGAUAUGCGGAGGAACACCGAUGGCGAAGGCAAUCCCCUGGACCUGUACUGACGCUCAUGCACGAAAGCGUGGGGAGCAAACAGGAU
rnacentral:rRNA from 1 species